rnacentral:rRNA from 1 species
UACGUAGGGACCGAGCGUUAUCCGGAUUCAUUGGGCGUAAAGAGCUCGUAGGCGGCUAUUCAAGUCGAACGUGAAAUCUCGGGGCUCAACUCCGAGCCUGCGUUCGAUACUGGGUAGCUAGAGUCUGGUAGGGGGAUCUGGAAUUCCUGGUGUAGCGGUGGAAUGCGCAGAUAUCAGGAGGAACACCGGUGGCGAAGGCGGAUCUCUGGGCCUUACCUGACGCUCAGGCGCGAAAGCUAGGGGAGCGAACUGG